AACGGGUGAGUAUAAUGUGGGAAUCUGCCUUUUGGUUUGGAAUAACACGGGGAAACUUGUGCUAAUACCGAAUAAGCCCUUACGGGGAAAGUUUUAAUGCCGAAAGAUGAGCCCGCACUUGAUUAGCUAGUUGGUAAGGUAAAAGCUUACCAAGGCAAUGAUCAAUAGCUGUUCUUAGAGGAAGACCAGCCACAUUGGGACUGAGACACGGCCCAGACUCCUACGGGAGGCAGCAGUGGGGAAUCUUGCACAAUGGGGGAAACCCUGAUGCAGCGAUGCCGCGUGAGUGAAGAAGGCCUUUGGGUUGUAAAACUCUUUCGUCGGGGAGGAAAAUGACUGUACCCGAAUAAGAAGGUCCGGCUAACUUCGUGCCAGCAGCCGCGGUAAUACGAAGGGACCUAGCGUAGUUCGGAAUUACUGGGCUUAAAGAGCUCGUAGGUGGUUAAAAAAGUUGAUGGUGAAAUCCCAAGGCUCAACCUUGGAACUGCCCUCAAAACUUUUUAGCUAGAGUGUGAUAGAGGUAAGUGGAAUUUCUAGUGUAGAGGUGAAAUUCGUAGAUAUUAGAAAGAACACCAAAUGCGAAGGCAACUUACUGGGUCACUACUGACACUGAGGAGCGAAAGCAUGGGUAGCGAAGAGGAUUAGAUACCCUCGUAGUCCAUGCCGUAAACGAUGUGUGCUAGACGUUGGAAAUAUAUUUU
rnacentral:rRNA from 1 species